CGUAGGUGACCUGCGGAGGAUCAUUAAAGAAUCAAAUAUGGUGGGCGGAAGAAAAUAGAGAGACUGUGCUGGCCGUUUGAAUAAGACGGCAUGUGCACGUCCCCUCGUCUUUUUCUGUCUAUCAUAUACAACACACCUGUGCACCAAUUGUAGAUUUCCCCUUUGAAAGAGGGAGGCGAUCUAUGUCUUCAUCACACACACUAUUGUAUGGCCAGAAUGAAAAUUAAUAAAAUACAACUUUCAGCAAUGGAUCUCUUGGUUCUCGCAUCGAUGAAGAACGCAGCGAAUUGCGAUAAGUAAUGUGAAUUGCAGAUUUCCAGUGAAUCAUCGAAUCUUUGAACGCAUAUUGCGCUCCUUGGUAUUCCGAGGAGCAUGCCUGUUUGAGUGUCAUUUGAUUAUCAACCAUAAUUCUCGAAAGAGAAUGAUGGCUUGGAGUUGGGGGUUGCUGGCGACCACUGGUCGUCAGCUCUCCUUAAAUGCAUUAGCGGUCGAGUUGGGCUAUCAAGUCUUUUGACAUGCACGGCCAUUGACGUGAUAAUGAUCGUCGUGGCUGGAGUGUCUUUGCUAGACUAUGCUACAUAGAUUGCUUCUAAUAAAAGAAACUUCAUCAAGCUUAGCUACUAGGCAGUCUUUGAAAAGAGGCUGGCGAACACAAGCAAGAGGAAGGGAAGUUAAUGUUGACAAAUAAAUCCUUGAUGAGCUAGCUUAGUUACUAGGCAGUCUUUGGAAACAAAGGCUGGCGAAAGCAAGCAAGUUAAUGUUGAUGUCGACGGUAAAUCCUUGAUCUGAUCAAGCUUAGCGACUAGGCAGUCUUUGAAAAGAGGCUGGCGAAAGCAAGGAAGAAAAGGGCAAGGAUGGAAGUUGAUGUGGAUGUUAAUGAAGUUCUCGUUAGUUAUUAGGCAGCCUUGUUUGAAAUCAAAGGAGGCUGGCGAAAGCAAGCAAGCAAGAGGAUAGAAGUCAAUGUUGAUGAAAUAUUAAUGACUUGACCUCAAAUCAGGUAGGACUACCCGCUGAACUUAAGCAUAUCAUAA
rnacentral:rRNA from 1 species